AGUGGCGAACGGGUGAGUAACACGUGGGCAAUCUGCCCUGCACUUCGGGAUAAGCCUGGGAAACUGGGUCUAAUACCGGAUAGGACCUUUAGGCGCAUGUCUUUAGGUGGAAAGCUUUUGCGGUGUGGGAUGGGCCCGCGGCCUAUCAGCUUGUUGGUGGGGUGAUGGCCUACCAAGGCGACGACGGGUAGCCGGCCUGAGAGGGUGUCCGGCCACACUGGGACUGAGAUACGGCCCAGACUCCUACGGGAGGCAGCAGUGGGGAAUAUUGCACAAUGGGCGCAAGCCUGAUGCAGCGACGCCGCGUGGGGGAUGACGGCCUUCGGGUUGUAAACCUCUUUCACCAUCGACGAAGGUCCGGGUUUUCUCGGAUUGACGGUAGGUGGAGAAGAAGCACCGGCCAACUACGUGCCAGCAGCCGCGGUAAUACGUAGGGUGCGAGCGUUGUCCGGAAUUACUGGGCGUAAAGAGCUCGUAGGUGGUUUGUCGCGUUGUUCGUGAAAUCUCACGGCUUAACUGUGAGCGUGCGGGCGAUACGGGCAGACUAGAGUACUGCAGGGGAGACUGGAAUUCCUGGUGUAGCGGUGGAAUGCGCAGAUAUCAGGAGGAACACCGGUGGCGAAGGCGGGUCUCUGGGCAGUAACUGACGCUGAGGAGCGAAAGCGUGGGGAGCGAACAGGAUUAGAUACCCUGGUAGUCCACGCCGUAAACGGUGGGUACUAGGUGUGGGUUUCCUUCCUUGGGAUCCGUGCCGUAGCUAACGCAUUAAGUACCCCGCCUGGGGAGUACGGCCGCAAGGCUAAAACUCAAAGGAAUUGACGGGGGCCCGCACAAGCGGCGGAGCAUGUGGAUUAAUUCGAUGCAACGCGAAGAACCUUACCUGGGUUUGACAUGCACAGGACGCGUCUAGAGAUAGGCGUUCCCUUGUGGCCUGUGUGCAGGUGGUGCAUGGCUGUCGUCAGCUCGUGUCGUGAGAUGUUGGGUUAAGUCCCGCAACGAGCGCAACCCUUGUCUCAUGUUGCCAGCGGGUAAUGCCGGGGACUCGUGAGAGACUGCCGGGGUCAACUCGGAGGAAGGUGGGGAUGACGUCAAGUCAUCAUGCCCCUUAUGUCCAGGGCUUCACACAUGCUACAAUGGCCGGUACAAAGGGCUGCGAUGCCGCAAGGUUAAGCGAAUCCUUUUAAAGCCGGUCUCAGUUCGGAUUGGGGUCUGCAACUCGACCCCAUGAAGUCGGAGUCGCUAGUAAUCGCAGAUCAGCAACGCUGCGGUGAAUACGUUCCCGGGCCUUGUACACACCGCCCGUCACGUCAUGAAAGUCGGUAACACCCGAAGCCAGUGGCCUAACC
rnacentral:rRNA from 1 species